rnacentral:rRNA from 1 species
AGAAUCAACGCUGGCGGCGUGCCUAACACAUGCAAGUCGAACGAGAAAGUGGAGCAAUCCAUGAGUAAAGUGGCGACCGGGUGAGUAACACGUGACUAACCUACCUUCGAGUGGGGGAUAACCUCGGGAAACCGGGGCUAAUACCGCAUAACAUCCUUGGAGUGGAAACUCUGGGGAUCAAAGGAGCAAUUCGCUGGAAGAGGGGGUCGCGGCUGAUUAGCUAGUUGGCGGGGUAAUGGCCCACCAAGGCUUUGAUCGGUA